rnacentral:rRNA from 1 species
CCUAACACAUGCAAGUCGAACGAAGGCUUCGGCCUUAGUGGCGCACGGGUGCGUAACGCGUGGGAAUCUGCCCCUUGGUUCGGAAUAACAGUUAGAAAUGACUGCUAAUACCGGAUGACGACGUAAGUCCAAAGAUUUAUCGCCGAGGGAUGAGCCCGCGUAGGAUUAGCUAGUUGGUGUGGUAAAGGCGCACCAAGGCGACGAUCCUUAGCUGGUCUGAGAGGAUGAUCAGCCACACUGGGACUGAGACACGGCCCAGACUCCUACGGGAGGCAGCAGUGGGGAAUAUUGGACAAU